GAUGAGCCCGCGGCCUAUCAGCUAGUUGGUGGGGUAACGGCCUACCAAGGCUAUGACGGGUAGCUGGUCUGAGAGGACGAUCAGCCACACUGGGACUGCGACACGGCCCAGACUCCUACGGGAGGCAGCAGUUGGGAAUUUUGGGCAAUGGGCGAAAGCCUGACCCAGCGACACCGCGUGGGGGACGAAGGCCUUCGGGUUGUAAACCCCUGUCAGGAGGGACGAAGCCGAAAGGUGACGGUACCUCCAGAGGAAGCCCCGGCUAACUACGUGCCAGCAGCCGCGGUAAGACGUANGGGGCGAGCGUUGUCCGGAUUUACUGGGCGUAAAGCGCGUGCAGGCGGUUCGUUAAGUCCCGUGUUAAAGCCUCCGGCUCAACCGGAGAACGCCGCGGGAUACUGGGCGAGCUUGAGGGCGGUAGAGGGUGAUGGAAUUCCCGGUGUAGCGGUGAAAUGCGUAGAUAUCGGGAGGAACGCCAGUGGCGAAGGCGGUCACCUGGGCCGUCCCUGACGCUGAGACGCGAAAGCUGGGGGAGCAAACGGGAUUAGAUACCCCGGUAGUCCCAGCUGUAAACGAUGCUCACUAGGUGU
rnacentral:rRNA from 1 species